rnacentral:rRNA from 1 species
UGGGGAAUUUUGGACGAUGGGCGCAAGCCUGAUCCAGCCAUUCCGCGUGCAGGACGAAGGCCUUCGGGUUGUAAACUGCUUUUGUACGGAACGAAAAGGCUCUGGCUAAUACCUGGGGCUCAUGACGGUACCGUAAGAAUAAGCACCGGCUAACUACGUGCCAGCAGCCGCGGUAAUACGUAGGGUGCAAGCGUUAAUCGGAAUUACUGGGCGUAAAGCGUGCGCAGGCGGUUAUGUAAGACAGAGGUGAAAUCCCCGGGCUCAACCUGGGAACUGCCUUUGNGACUGCAUAGCUGGAGUACGGCAGAGGGGGAUGGAAUUCCGCGUGUAGCAGUGAAAUGCGUAGAUAUGCGGAGGAACACCGAUGGCGAAGGCAAUCCCCUGGGCCUGUACUGACGCUCAUGCACGAAAGCGUGGGGAGCAAACA